rnacentral:rRNA from 1 species
GAUGAACGCUAGCGGCAGGCCUAAUACAUGCAAGUCGAGGGGCAGCAGGAAUAGCAAUAUUUGCUGGCGACCGGCGCACGGGUGCGUAACGCGUAUGCAAUCUGCCUUGUACUGAGGGAUAGCCCAGAGAAAUUUGGAUUAAUACCUCAUAGCAUUAUGAAAUCGCAUGGUUUUAUAAUUAAAGUUCCAACGGUACAAGAUGAGCAUGCGUCCCAUUAGUUAGUUGGUAAGGUAACGGCAUACCAAGACGAUGAUGGGUAGGGGUCCUGAGAGGGAGAUCCCCCACACUGGUACUGAGACACGGACCAGACUCCUACGGGAGGCAGCAGUGAGGAAUAUUGGUCAAUGGACGCAAGUCUAAACCAGCCAUGCCGCGUGCAGGAUGAAGCAUCUAUGGUGUGUAAACUGCUUUUGUACGGGAAGAAACACUCCUACGUGUAGGAACUUGACGGUACCGUAAGAAUAAGGAUCGGCUAACUCCGUGCCAGCAGCCGCCGUAAAAC